rnacentral:lncRNA from 1 species
AUAUAGGUGACCUCCCAUAGAAAUUUGACCGCACUGUACAAGUAGUCUUCAUUUCAGAGAGAGUUUUUAAAUCUGCUUGCAUAUUCUUUGAGGGAAAAUUAUGACUAUAUGGAUAUUCAACCUUCGAUUCAACUUGCCUGUUUGUGAUUUAUCUUUAUAAUUGUCGAUACAUAAAUAUCAAGCACAAGUUAUAAUUAAUUAUAACAUCCUUCGGGGAAUGCUUGCAGGUAGUGAAGGUGAAUGAAGGGAUGAAAACAAUGAAGGCACGCCUUAGGAGCGAGGAUUAUGUUGAUAUCUUUGACACUUAGCAAGUGUUCUAGAAAUAUUUUGUUUUUUGGACAUUAAAACUUGUGUCUAACCUCAUGAAUAUUCAAGUUUUUUUUGUAUAUUUUGCUUUAAUGAAUAUUAUUACUUGUCCUGGGAUCUUGGAUUGUAUUUGAUUAUGAAUACUUACUUCUCGUGUUUGAUAUA